rnacentral:rRNA from 1 species
AGUGAACGCUGGCGGUAGGCCUAACACAUGCAAGUCGAACGGCAGCACAGUAAGAGCUUGCUCUUACGGGUGGCGAGUGGCGGACGGGUGAGGAAUACAUCGGAAUCUACUUUUUCGUGGGGGAUAACGUAGGGAAACUUACGCUAAUACCGCAUACGACCUACGGGUGAAAGCAGGGGAUCUUCGGACCUUGCGCGAUUGAAUGAGCCGAUGUCGGAUUAGCUAGUUGGCGGGGUAAAGGCUCACCAAGGCGACGAUCCGUAGCUGGUCUGAGAGGAUGAUCAGCCACACUGGAACUGAGACACGGCCCAGACUCCUACGGGAGGCAGCAGUGGGGAAUAUUGGACAAUGGGCGCAAGCCUGAUCCAGCCAUACCGCGUGGGUGAAGAAGGCCUUCGGGUUGUAAAGCCCUUUUGUUGGGAAAGAAAAGCAGCAGGUUAAUACCCCGCUGUUCUGACGGUACCCAAAGAAUAAGCACCGGCUAACUUCGUG